rnacentral:rRNA from 1 species
GAUGAACGCUAGCGGCAGGCUUAACACAUGCAAGUCGAGGGGUAGAGGUUGCUUGCAACCUUGAGACCGGCGCACGGGUGCGUAACGCGUAUGCAACCUACCUUUUACAGAGGGAUAGCCCAGAGAAAUUUGGAUUAAUACCUCAUAGUAUAUAGUCUUCGCAUGUUGACUAUAUUAAAGUUCCAACGGUAAAAGAUGGGCAUGCGUCCUAUUAGCUAGAUGGUAAGGUAACGGCUUACCAUGGCAACGAUAGGUAGGGGUCCUGAGAGGGAGAUCCCCCACACUAGUACUGAGACACGGACCAGACUCCUACGGGAGGCAGCAGUGAGGAAUAUUGGACAAUGGGCGCAAGCCUGAUCCAGCCAUGCCGCGUGCAGGAAGAAGCAUCUAUGGUGUGUAAACUGCUUUGGUACGGGAAGAAACACUCCGACGUGUCGGAGCUUGACGGUACCGUAAGAAUAAGGAUCGGCUAACUCCGUGCCAGCCGCCGCAGUAAUAC